rnacentral:lncRNA from 1 species
AGUGGAAUGGACAUGAGAGCCAUUGACAGAUCACCAACAUGGUGAUUCAUUUGAAAGUUCACAAUGUAGUGCAUUAGCAGAAAAUGGUUGAUGUACCCUGCUUCAACUCUGAUGAACACAGGAGCUCCAGAGCCAAGCUGCAGUGCUGCAUUCCCAACUGCUCACCAGAUGUCUAAGCCAAGAUACGCCAUCAUCAGCUCAAACUCAUCAUUCUCAAACCAAACUUCUCAAUUUCUACUGCAAGCCACUCAUGACUCCUGACCUUCCUGUUUUUGUUAAACACACCACUACUCCUCCAACUCUAAAAGAAUAAACACAUCUAUGUCAAAGAAGAAAUCUUUCCCCUCAAUGGAAUCUUAUCCAGAUAAUAGAGAUGGAACUAAGACAGAAGCUGGCAGAGACCUCAGAGGAGGAUGUACAUACCUAUACACAUGCCACUGAACAAAAGUCAUGAGAGUUCCAUCCUGAAGAAAAAUCACUCCCUAGUUUGAUUAAGCCUCCAUAUCCAAUUCAUGUGAAAAUAUUAAAUUCAGUUACUUGUAAAUUAUAAAAUGCUAUACAAAUAUAGCAUGGCAAUUCAUAGUAGCAUAUAAAACCAAUACCAACAAUUCAUUCUGCUAAUUCAAAUUUAGAUAAAAAGUGUCUAUUAAUUUUAAAAACAAAUUAACAUGCAAAUGAUAUAUUAUAGAGAAAAGCA